UACGUAGGGGGCUAGCGUUGUCCGGAAUCAUUGGGCGUAAAGAGCGUGUAGGCGGCCCGGUAAGUCCGCUGUAAAAGUCAAAGGCUCAACCUUUGAAUGUCAGUGGAUACUGCCGGGCUAGAGUCCGGAAGAGGCGAGUGGAACUCCUGGUGUAGCGGUGGAAUGCGCAGAUAUCAGGAGGAACACCCGUGGCGAAAGCGGCUCUCUGGGACGGUACUGACGCUGAGACGCGAAAGCGUGGGGAGCAAACAGG
rnacentral:rRNA from 1 species